rnacentral:rRNA from 1 species
UACGUAGGGUGCAAGCGUUGUCCGGAAUCAUUGGGCGUAAAGCGCGUGUAGGCGGCCCGGUAAGUCCGCUGUGAAAGUCGGGGGCUCAACCCUCGAAUGCCGGUGGAUACUGUCGGGCUAGAGUACGGAAGAGGCGAGUGGAAUUCCUGGUGUAGCGGUGAAAUGCGCAGAUAUCAGGAGGAACACCAAUUGCGAAGGCAGCUCGCUGGGACGUUACUGACGCUGAGACGCGAAAGCGUGGGGAGCAAACAGG